GUGGGGAAUAUUGGUCAAUGGGCGCAAGCCUGAACCAGCCACGCCGCGUGAGUGAUGAAGGCCUUCGGGUUGUAAAGCUCUGUGGGGAGGGAAGAAAACGGCGCAUAAGAAACGAUGCGUCCUUGACGGUACCUCCUUAGCAAGCACCGGCUAACUCUGUGCCAGCAGCCGCGGUAAUACAGAGGGUGCGAACGUUGCUCGGAAUUACUGGGCGUAAAGCGCGUGUAGGCGGGACCGUAAGUCAGAUGUGAAAUCCCCGAGCUCAACUCGGGAACUGCAUCUGAAACUGCGGACCUUGAGUACUGGAGAGGGCGGCGGAAUUCCUGGUGUAGAGGUGAAAUUCGUAGAUAUCAGGAGGAACACCGGUGGCGAAGGCGGCCGCCUGGACAGUCACUGACGCUGAGACGCGAAAGCGUGGGGAGCAAACAGGAUUAGAUACCCGGGUAGUCC
rnacentral:rRNA from 1 species